AUACUGCUCCCUCCGGCUGGAAAUAGUUGUCAUCAAAAUUAAUAAAAGGGAAUGUAUCAAGACAUAUAUUAGUUCUAGAUACAUUCUUUUUUAUCUAUUUUGAUAACAACUAUUUUCAGACGGAGGGAGUAGUAG
rfam:Triticum aestivum genome assembly, contig: Triticum_aestivum_CS42_TGACv1_scaffold_436125_5DL